AAGAAAAUGAGAAAGGACUUCAGCUUGAAGAGAAGAGCCGAAUGGGAUCCAGCUGUGAUUUAGAUCAGUCUGGCCAGUUAACCAAAGGACAGAAGUAGCUUUUAAAGGCAUCACUGGGGUGAACUGUGUUUUUUGGUAAUUUUCCACUGGGCCAUGAGUAUAGUAUUUUUAGGGAUUUCCUCCCAUAUAGAAUAUGUAUUCAUGGCUUUUCUUACCCUCAGAGAUGUGCCACCUGUUAUAGCCAAAUGAUCCAUAAUAAAAGUAGGGAGAAAAGGGGAGGAUGCAUUCCAUCCAUUGGUAGUCAGAAAUUAUGGAGGGAAAGAUAUGCCUUUACAUUUACUGGGUAAUAGUUCCUGAACCAAGGCCUACGAAUCCUUGACUCUUUUGCCCAUGAGAGUUUCUGUCCUAUUUCAGGGCAUUCUGAAGAUGUUAUCAGCUGGGCAUAUCAACACCUCAUUUGCCAACCAUCUUACUCCCCGCAGGCCGCUGGGACUGGACACAGCUUCCCUCUCGCUUUCUCCUAAUGGGCCCCAAACAGGGUGGUCACACUCAAUACCCUAAGAAACUUUGGGUGCACAUCCUCUUCAAUUCAGCUCACUCUUUCAGUGUAUCCUGCCCACAUUUCCCUAAAAUCUUUCUGCUCCAUUCUCUGGACAGCUGGAUCGCAAGAACAUUUGGAAGGUCCCUUAACGAGUUGUAUCCCAAAUUGUCAUUCCGUUGCCCUCAGCCACAGCCUCAGAGCAAAUUUUUGCUACCCUCGGAGUGAUUUUCUUUCUUGCCCUGCAUAGUUUCUUCAUCUGUAAACUGGAAAUAGUUAAAGUCUUGAUCCUGGUAUUUACCUCUCAAGCAGAAGUAGCAAACUCAGCCAAGUCACUUAAACAAGGGAGACAUUCCUGAGCCAGGAGGCACUGGUCACAAUGAUCAGGCCUCUCAAGCAUCUAAAGUCUCUAUCAAGGAAGAGACCUAGGCUGUGAUUCUGCUCUUCCAGGAUGACUUAGGGACCUAGUCUUGAUUCUGGAACUUGAAUAGUUUCUCUACGUGAUUUUGUUUUACAGCUUCAGUGACAUAAGGUAGAGUUUACUCAAAAUAGCCUUUGAUCAAUUAAUCCUCUUAGGGCCAACUAGUAUGUAAAAAAUGUCCAAUUCAUUAAUCAUGAAAAUGCAAAUUAGAACCACAAUGAGAUCAUUUCAUCCCACUUAGAAUGACUAUUAUCCAAAAAGCAAAAAAUAACAAAUGCUAGUGAGGAUGUAAAGAAAGGAGAACUAUGGGGAACUAUUGGUGGGAAUGUAAAUUACUGCUGCUAUUAUGGAAAACGGAAUGCAGGUUCCUCAAAACUACUGAAAAUAGAACUACCAUAUGAUCCAUCGAUUCCACUAUGUUUGUAUAUCCAAAAGAAAUGAAAUUAUUACAUCAAAGAGAUACUUAAUCCCAGCACCACAUGGUAGAUCCAGACAGCUCCAAAAAGCCCCACACGUGAGUGCAUGAGGCUUUGGAGGACAUAUGGAUACAAGCCAUAACACCUGGGAAGCAGGUAAAAGAACCAAGCCCUGCCCAGGUCCCCAUGCCCCGCACAACCCAAGGAGACUGUGCAUAGCUCUGCCCAAAAUUUCUUGCUGAGGCAGUUAUUGCCUAUGGUCUUUGCUUUCAUACUUCAUCUCAAGAGAAAAGCUCAUCACAAAGUUGUGUGUCCCAAUCUUUUUGAGCACAGAACCUCUUAUCUUAUUAUACAAGUACAUUACAUGCUCACUAUUAAAAGACUCAGAAGUGUCACAAAUAAAUAAACUCAACUACCCACAGUCUUACUGCCCAGAUAAUCACAUUAAAGUUCUAAAUAAAACCUUCCAUAAUUCCCACACACACACGCGCGCACGCAUGCACCCCUAUGCUGUGUAUCAGCAACAGAUGGGGACCUAACUGCUCAUCAGCUCAAAACUAACAUUAGAGCAGCAAGCCCUGCCUUCCACAUUCCUGACUGACUUAGGUUUAGUCUGGACUCUGGACAGAAACAAAGAGAAUAUAGCUAGCUCUAACCUCUAUGAAAAUUAGACAUCAUUCCUUCAGGUCUAGAGGACCAUAAAGAUACAGAUUAAGAAUGCCUUGCUUUGGCAGUAUUUGUAGAUUCGAAAAAGCUAGAAAUAUUCUUAACUAAAAACAAAAGUCUAAUGUCAUUAAGAUAAAUUAUUCCUGAACAGGGGCUAAAAGAACAUGGUUAUAAGGAAAUUAGUCUGUACCUCACACCCACACGUGUCACACUGGUGUGAAACACUGUUAUGGUUUCCAUCACGAAUGACCCCCAAGACUUUCAUGUGCCCAGAGGCAGAGCUUUUAGAAGGUGACUAGAUUGUGGGGGAUGCUAUAGCUGACUUGCUCUUAGGAGGUGGGGCCUAGUUAGAAGGGGGCAGGGCUGGGUGUACCCUGGGAGGGUGUAUCUUCCUCACUGACUACUCUCUUUGUGCCUCUGCUUCAUGGCAGCCAUGACCUGAGCAUUUUCAUUCCCCCUACACCCUUCCACCAUGCCCUUCUGCAUUCAAACGUGAUGACCAUGGACUGAAAUGGCUGAAACUCAGCCAAAAUAAACCUCGUCCCCUUUAAGUUGCAGGUGUUGGGUACUGAGUCUUGGCAAGCAGAAAGUGGCUAAGAGAAACACAUAGACCCAUUCAUUUAUUCCACCAAUAUUUACUCUUAAAUGGUGCUAUUUAACCAGAGGACUUUCAUGUCCCUUACUUUCUUAAAAGGCUAGGAUCAAUUGCUGCCACUGUAAAUCAGGUGCUUGCACCAAAGCGGACCAGGCAGUAGGCAGGGUCAGAGGAAUUCAGAUUGCACAUGUUAUCCAAGGAAUAGCUUUCAAACAUUUUUACAUUAUCUCAGGCUCUUGGCCAACCUUAGAUAUUUUGGAACUGAAGGAGAACAGGUAAGGGGAUCCCAUAGAUGAAGGAGGUCACUCCCAGCACAAAGUAGAGAAUUGUCAUCUACCAGAUCUAUUUCACUUGAUUCACAAGUUUAAUGUCCAGCCUGCAUUUCCCAAGCCCCAGCUUGAUAGGGUAGGCUGUUUGAAGGAAUGAUGUACAGCAGGAGUUCUCCAACAUCAGCAUCUAUAAGGCUCGCCUGGGGGAUUUGUUAGAAUCUAGACUGCAGAGCCCCAGAUCCAGGUUCUGUUUCUGUUUCUCAAGUGGAGCCCAAGCGUCUGCACUUCUUCCAAAGGAUGUUGAUGCUACUGAUUCAUGGAACUCAGUGUGAAUAACAUUGGGUGCAGGAUUGAGGUCUCUUUCUGGCAGACAGCACUGGUAGGCUGGGUAGAUCUUGCUGUUAAUUGGCAUCUGAUGACAAAUAGACUUGGUGAAAAGCUGGCUUUAUUUGUGAUCUGGGAUUUAAUUUUCUAGUGCCAAAGGGACAAAAAGAAGGGAGUUAGUGGUAAGGUUAUCCCCUCUUUUCCCAGUAUGCUGCAACUGCUGCUCAGGGGUGUCUUCUCAAGGACAAAAUAGUACUGUGUAUCAUCAAGAAGGGGAGAUGCUAAAAGUCUUCCAGGAUGAGGUAUUGGGCCCUCUUUCUCACCACCAAGUCCUGCUCAUUUCUAUAGAGCAGACUGGGUCCUGGAAAGAUUGCUGUCUUUCAGCUCAACAAAGACCUGGAACUUGUCCAAGGUCGCCUGCAGGCUCUGUUGGACUUUAUGAUGGAAUGUGCACGAGAUGGAUCUUGUCCCUGGGGGCAAAUGCUGCAGCCCUGGGUGUGGCCACCCCUGCCAAAUCCCUAUUCAAGAUGUAUUUACAAGAUAGCUGCUUAUGGAAAAAAUGAGGACCUGCUGGCCUUUGCAGGCAAAGGGGCUCCAUCUGCCCCCUUUUCAUGGAGAAACCGGGUUGACAGCAAAAGCAGAAUUUUCUGGAAGGUAUAAUGAUAACCUGUGCUUUAGGAGGAUUUCCUUAUCCCUGUGGGUGGUUGAUGAACCUUAGAUUCCUUCAGUGAUCAUUCCCAAGGUCUUCUUAUUCCAGUGCCUGUGAUGAAGCUUCUUUUCCUGGACACUCUUUUUUCUUCUUCCAAGUAAAAUUAUUUCUGUGACAUUUUCCAACCUGAGUUAUUAUUACGUCUCCCUUGCAUUAAUAUUACAAUUCUAGGAAGACGUUGAGCCCCAAUCCUUGGACCUUACCCAUUUUUCAUUAUUCAUUGCCCCACCUAUUUUCUGUUUUCUCCUGUAAAAAAAGGAAAACUGUGGGUUCGGGGAUGGGUGUUUCAUUUUGGUUUUUUGUUUUGUUUUGUUUUCUACUGGGGAUCAGAUCCAAGCCCUUUGCCCAUCCCAAUCCUUUUAAAAUAUUUUAUUUUGAGACAAAUUCUGACUGAGUCACUAAGUUGCCCAGGUUGGGCUCCGACUUGACCCUCCUGCUUCAGCCUCCCAGAGUGCUGUAAUUACAAGGGUGUGAAAAACUCUGGAUGAAUAAAAUUUAACACCUUUUAAAUGAGCAAGGGAUAACUCACAAAUCCAGCAGCCCUCAGAACCAGAAGUGUGAGAGUUUCUCUGGGCAAAGCACAGGAGUAUUUAUACAGUAUUUAAAGCAGGGAGUAUUUACAGACAGAAGAGGGAUGUGAGGAAAGAAGCCACUUGAUUGUCGCAGCUGUAUGUUUGCUUUAUCUAGUUUGCAGCCUGUGAUUGGCUGGCACCCAGCUAUUUGCCACAAUUAUACUUCGCAGUUAGGCUUACCAUUUGUGUAUGUGUUAAAUUAGGUUGCAGUUCCUUACACAGGGACUCAAAGCACUCGAGGCAGUGUCAAGUCAAAUUUAAUGUUCCUCAUCCUUACUCCAUAUAUAUGAGAUUUGUAGUCACAACAGCCCUGUGUAAAAAACUACCCCCAAACUCAGUGACUUAAUAAUCAUUCUGAUGAAUCCGUAGUCAGCUAAGGGGUCACUGAUUUAGGCUGGGCUCAACUGGGCAGAUCUGCUGAUUUGGGCUACAUUCACUCAUGCAUCUGAGGUUGGCUGAUCAGAAUGGGUUCCUGGGGUAGAUGUGGCUCUUCCCAGUGUACACCAUUCUUCCCCUGGCACCACAGAGCAGGCUAGGCUCUCAAUACUUCCUGUCACUCUCACUACAUUUCCCUAGGAAAUUCACUUUUCCACCCGCAAAGCUAACCAUGUCGCACUGCUCUUUCUUUAAAUCUCCCUUCACCUCCCUCUCACUCCAGCCUCCACCAGCCUCACUAGGCUAUUUACUCUCUUUAUCCUCUGUAAUAAUGGAAAAACAAUCUCUGCUCCUAUUUAAGUCCAACUCCUCCACUUAUAUUCUGGAUAAUACCCUUUCUUAUCUAAUCAAGGACUUCACUCUUCAGUAUUAUCUCCCUAUUCUGUCAUAGAUGUCUCCCUUGCUACUGGAUAACACCAACAGUCAUACAACAGUACCUUGAUUCCAUUUUUCAACCCGGCAGCCAUGCAUUCUACAGCGGAAACUCCAAAGACAGCUGUCUCGCCGUCUGGACUUGCUUCUCCACUUCCUCACCCCAUUACCACCACCUUCUCUCCUCACAGUAUGCCACCCUCUUCCCUAUUGUUGG
rnacentral:lncRNA from 1 species